rfam:Spinacia oleracea cultivar SynViroflay scaffold698.con0002.1, whole genome shotgun sequence.
AGCCUACUAUCUCAAUAGGUAGAGCAUUGUACAAAUGCACAAAAGAUGUGGGUUCGAAUCCCACGUAGGAUA